GAUGAACGCUGGCGGCGUGCCUAAUACAUGCCAGUCGAGCGAACGGACGAGAAGCUUGCUUCUCUGCUGUUAGCGGGGGACGGGUGAGUAACACGUGGAUCACCUACCUAUAAGACUGGGAUAAUUUCGGGAAACCGGAGCUAAUACCGGCUAAUAUUUUGAACCGCAGGGUUCAAAAGUUAAAGACGGUCUUGCUGUCACUUAUAGAUGGAUCCGGGCUGCAUUAGCUGGUUGGUAAGGUAACGGCUUAACAAGGCAACGAUGCAUAGCCGACCUGAGAGGGUGAUCGGCCACACUGGAACUGAGACACGGUCCAGACUCCUACGGGAGGCAGCAGUAGGGAAUCUUCCGCAAUGGGCGAAAGCCUGACGGAGCAACGCCGCGUGAGUGAUGAAGGUCUUCGGAUCCUAAAACUCUGUUAUUAGGGAAGAACAUAUGUGUAAGUAACUGUGCACAUCUUGACGGUACCUAAUCAGAAAGCCACGGCUAACUACGUG
rnacentral:rRNA from 1 species